GAACUCAUUCACCCGGGUAGGAGUCACGAUCUCGUACUCGCUGAGCUUCUCCAGCAGCUUGGCUGCAAGGGAAGAGAACCACACGCCCCUGAGUGGGGAGGCCGAGCCCCCUACCCCCUGGGGGGGCAGCACACCAGCACCCUCCCAGUACCCCAACCCCAGCACCCCCUUACCUUGCCUGGGGUGCAGCUUCUGCCUCCUCGCUCCUAUCCUCAAGCCGUCGAUGAAGAGCGUGGAACGCCGGAAUCGCAGGUUUUCGCCAAGAAAAGCCCUCGCUGCGGCGGGACGGGAUGGGGCGGGUUGCGGGGGGCUCUGCCGCGGCCCCCGCUGCUCCUCACCGAUGGAUUUAAGAAGGCAAAGUGGCCUGGGCGUAGCGUCACCGGCUGCUGCUGAGCUGCAAGGUCCUGGGGGAAGAGCGACCCUGUCACUCGCCGAGAGGAGAGCCGAGCUUUCUUGCAUAAUUGAUGAUUUUCCUUCUUUAAAGCAUUCUGAGGGAAAGGAAAGAUUAUUUCCUUAUCUGAGUUUAUUUUGGUUUACAAUUUGGAAGUUUUUCUAUUGAAAUCUAAGACAUCCUUCAGA